AGUGCCUACGGGGGGCAGCAGUGGGGGAUAUUGCACAAUGGGGGGAACCCUGAUGCAGCGACGCCGCGUGAGUGAGGAAGCAUUUCGGUAUGUAAAGCUCUAUCAGCAGGGAAGAAGAAAGACGGUACCUGACUAAGAAGCCCCGGCUAACUACGUGCCAGCAGCCGCGGUAAUACGUAGGGGGCAAGCGUUAUCCGGAUUUACUGGGUGUAAAGGGAGCGUAGACGGCUGUGCAAGUCUGAAGUGAAAGCCCAGGGCUCAACCCUGGGACUGCUUGGAA
rnacentral:rRNA from 1 species